rnacentral:rRNA from 1 species
GCGGCCAUAGCGUCGUGGAACCACCUGAUCCCAUGCCGAACUCAGAAGUGAAACGCGGUAGCGCCGAUGGUAGUGUGGCAUUCGCCAUGCGAGAGUAGGACACUGCCAGGC